rfam:Ictidomys tridecemlineatus contig094465, whole genome shotgun sequence.
GUGGUUGUGGCUCAGUGGUAGAGCGCUUGCCUAGCAUGCGUGAGGAGGCACUGGGUUCGAUUCUCAGCACCGCA